CUCCGUGUUACGGGUGGGAUAUGCGGUCACUCUCGGUGUUAAAGACGCAAGUUCCAGAAAUGGGUUCCCGUGUGAUCUCGAGGGACGAACUUUACGGCAUUGAGGAGGAGCAGGAUACUGAUCAACAAAUUCAGGAACCUCCGUCAAGCCCAGAAGAUGAUGGCACCGACCAAGUCAUUUAUAACGUGAUGAAACAG